rnacentral:lncRNA from 1 species
ACUUUAUAGACUGUAGUAUAGUCAUAUUGUAGUCUAUAAAAUAGAUUGCCAGUGAUUUCAAACAACAAUAACAAUUUUUGAUACAGAAAAUAUGACUGACCACUGUGAGCUACCUCUUGCUGUUUGCCUGUCGAUGCAUUGUCCAUCCCCAUUCUAGUUGAUCCCAUCAUGAGUACUAGCCAUCCCCUGUAGAUGACCCCAUAAAUACAUACUAAAAGUAGUAUCCAUCACAAAUAUCCUAUGUGGACUUCUGUAGCUUGCUUAAAACAAACAAACACAUUAAGCUCAGAGAGACAUUGAAAUACAGAUGGAAUAUUAUUAACCUGAAAUGCAUGAGACAGAAUGUUUCAGAUAUUAAAUAUUUUCAGAUUUUGAAAUACCAUGAUAUAAUGAAAAUUAAGAGAAAUAAAAGAAAAAAUUCAUUAUCAGAUCCAUUUAAAAUCUUUAAUGAUAUAUGAACAAUACAACAAAGUAAGUAGUCAGACACUCGCACUAACAAUAUGUGAUUGUUUACUGAAUCACAGUCUUAUGCCACACUUGCAUGCACACUAUUGUGUCAUCUCAUGGCACAAACAGUGAGUCUCAAUCCUAUCUCAAGAAGCUCCCGAUUAUGAAAAUAAAGUUAUUAAUUUUAGGAUAUUUCAGAUUUUGGAUUAGGUAUACUCAACCUGUAAUCAGAGAAACACAUAAUAUAAUAGUUUGUUCCUAUAAUAUCCUAAAAUCUCAUAAUAUGAAAUCAUAUUAUAUGGACUAAGAAUCGAUAUUAAAAAG